ACAAUGCAGUCGAGCGGUAGAGAGAAGCUUGCUUCUCUUGAGAGCGGCGGACGGGUGAGAAAGCCUAGGAAUCUGCCUGGUAGUGGGGGAUAACGUCCGGAAACGGACGCUAAUACCGCAUACGUCCUACGGGAGAAAGCAGGGGACCUUCGGGCCUUGCGCUAUCAGAUGAGCCUAGGUCGGAUUAGCUAGUUGGUGGGGUAAUGGCUCACCAAGGCGACGAUCCGUAACUGGUCUGAGAGGAUGAUCAGUCACACUGGAACUGAGACACGGUCCAGACUCCUACGGGAGGCAGCAGUGGGGAAUAUUGGACAAUGGGCGAAAGCCUGAUCCAGCCAUGCCGCGUGUGUGAAGAAGGUCUUCGGAUUGUAAAGCACUUUAAGUUGGGAGGAAGGGCAGUAAAUUAAUACUUUGCUGUUUUGACGUUACCGACAGAAUAAGCACCGGCUAACUCUGUGCCAGCAGCCGCGGUAAUACAGAGGGUGCAAGCGUUAAUCGGAAUUACUGGGCGUAAAGCGCGCGUAGGUGGUUCGUUAAGUUGGAUGUGAAAUCCCCGGGCUCAACCUGGGAACUGCAUUCAAAACUGACGAGCUAGAGUAUGGUAGAGGGUGGUGGAAUUUCCUGUGUAGCGGUGAAAUGCGUAGAUAUAGGAAGGAACACCAGUGGCGAAGGCGACCACCUGGACUGAUACUGACACUGAGGUGCGAAAGCGUGGGGAGCAAACAGGAUUAGAUACCCUGGUAGUCCACGCCGUAAACGAUGUCAACUAGCCGUUGGGAGCCUUGAGCUCUUAGUGGCGCAGCUAACGCAUUAAGUUGACCGCCUGGGGAGUACGGCCGCAAGGUUAAAACUCAAAUGAAUUGACGGGGGCCCGCACAAGCGGUGGAGCAUGUGGUUUAAUUUCGAAGCAACGCGAAGAACCUUACCAAGGCCUUGACAUCAAUGAACUUUCUAGAAGAUAGAUGUGCUUCGGAACAAUUGAGAACAGGUGCUGCAUGCUGUCGUCAGC
rnacentral:rRNA from 2 species